rnacentral:lncRNA from 1 species
UAAGCCGGCCGCUGGCUUAUAGACCUCUCCUGAUCAACACUGCAAUACUGACCACAUGGCACAGGCAGACGUAGACCGUUAGGGUAUAGGGUUGCAGAAAAUCAGCGUAACCUGUCAGAGGGGGAUUUGCUACGACAGAUUCAUUACUCAGCUAAAGUUGAACCUGCAGCAAGUCGCAUCUGUAAGACCAUGUUUUGAACAGGAAUGGACUGUAAGUGAAAUAAGCGCUGUCUAUAAUUAGGGCACUGAUUUCUUGUUCAUACCGCUCUGACUCGUUUGUUUAUCCGUGCUUGAUCAUAUGCGUUCAUUACAUUCAUAUUAAACAACAUUUCAUAUGUUAUUAAUUUCAUGAUGUGUUUUCACUCAGAAAAGUAACCCAAUUUUAGGAUGGGCUACUUUUUCUGCACUAUCGAAGGCGGAAGUUAAAGCUUUUUUUGCAGAAAGGAGAACUGAACAAAUUGUUGUACUGCUGUAAGUUACUUCUCUUCUUAAGGAGAACCAAGUGACAGGGCGUUCACAGAAAGCGAAUCGUCUGCAAUAGGUUCCUUGUUCAGGCAAAUGUAGCCGAAUUUUCGCACAAAAUGGGAGCUACUUUACUCGCGUUUCUUCUGGUUGCUUGCAGAUAUGCUCUCUGUAAAGAAACGCACGUUUUUGAUGGGGAAAUUGUUAAUUUAGCCGUUGGAAUCGAUACACUAUUCGUACUCACGGAUAAGCCUACUCAACUUCAUCAGAUGACCCUGAGCCUCACACUGGAAAUGCUUAAACUAAUUUCAAAUUCAUCGGCAAACAACGUGACUUUACUUCCUUUCACCAGUAACGGUACUCUGUUGACAUGCGGAUCUCUCCCUGAGGAUCCCUGUGGAUACUGUGAAGUUAUUGACCUGAAUCACAUCUCUACAAGGAUACACAGGGAAAGUAGCACCAUUGGGUCAUACUCAAGUAUUGCUUUUUUUACUGACCAUGGAAAUGACAAAUACUUAUUGGUGGCCAAAAACAGAGGAACGAAGUGUGACAGUGACGCCUUAGUAACAUUACGAGACACUGUUGAUGGACAGGUUGGAGGAAUUUUUUCCAAAUCAGAUCACCACUUUACCGCCAGCAUCCAACCAAUUAUUCACAAAGAAAUUAAGUCUGGAAAGGAAAUUAAGUUUGAACCGGAAAUUCAGUUUGUACAUGGUUUCCAGUUGAAUGCAUCAAAUAUACAACGAAUCUAUCUUUUUAUGAACGUCAAGAACAGAUUCGAAUCAAAAGUCAAACUUCUAACGCUUGAUAAUCGGAACAGUAAAGGGGAACCUUCAAAACCCUCCAAGGUGCGGCGCUUCAGUGUUGCGACGGCAACGAAUCCUGGAUGCUUCUGUCCUCUGCUCUUAUUCCUGGAGAAUCUCAGGUGCUUUGGGCAGGUGUCUUUCAGGACAACACUGGAGACGCCGCGGUGGCCAUUUUUGACAUCAGCCCAUCGCAAACAGGCCCUGUUUCAGGGUUCUGCUUUAACAAAGAUGAGUGUAACGAAGAAGAUAAACGCCAGUCUGAUCUGGUCAAAGAUAAAGUUCUCAAGCCGGCUGCAGUGGUGUUCAAGUACAGCAACAUAACAUCAGUCGCUGCUUUAAGGAGCAACUCCUGA